GCCACUGUCACUGCAGUGGAAAAGUCCUAACCCAGAGGUCAGUCAACUUGGCUUUAGACAACUUGGCUGUGAACCAGGACUGUUUCCUAGAGCACAAAGACCAAUGACCAGGGUGAAGAGUAUGGUUUGGCAGAGUGGAAUUCAAAUUACCAGCUCUGACCCACACUGGUUGUAUAGCUUUCAGGAAGCCACCAGACUUAGCUAAGCCAUGACUACCUUGCCUCAAUAUUGGGAAAUCUCCAGUUGCAAAGAGAAAGAUUGCCAUGGCUGUAAGAAACAGAAGCCCACUCAAGCUACUAAAGCAAAAAAGGGAAGACAUGUUUUAAGGACUCAGGUCUGAGACCCCACGCUUCAUGCAAGCUAAAGUGAAGCAUUAAGGAAGAGGAGAAGAAGCUGCCAGAGACUUUCCUGUGACUCGCUGCUAAUAAAGUUGAUUAGACUGA